UAAGCACUUCAAAGCACAUAAUUUCCAGACUUCCAAAAUGGGUUAGGCUGAUGAAGAAGGCAUCUUAACAUCCACUCCCCACAAACCAGUCACACGCCUCCAAAACUAAAUCGAAGCAUCUCUGCCAGAAUUAAGGUGUGUGGCUAUAUUAUUUAUCAUCCAGACCAAGAGAUUUUGGAGAGUGAAAAAAAGCACUAAUACAAAUGAUGCCAGGACGAAACGGACACGUUCCUGGGGAAACGAAGGUGUGGUCACCCUAACUACAAUGUGUGGAAGCAGGUGUGGCUACGGAGAUGCCCAAGAACCAAACAGCAGAGAGGGUGAUGCCAACACAGCAGAUGCCUGCCCUGGAGAGUCGUCUGGGUCCACAGCAAAACUGACAUGAUCCAGAAGUAAAAUUUUGUGGUGUUAAGACGAGGCCGGAAGGAAGAAGAGAAAAACAAAAGACUCUCUCACCUGCGCUCCUUGAGAGGGAGCCAAGUGGAAGCAAUAAGGCUUCUCUCCACUUAGAAGAAAUGGGAUCAACUACCGGGCAUCAGAGAACCAGAGGGUUAUUUCCUCCAAAGCGGCCGGGCUGGAACUGUUGUCUAAUUGGCCUCCAGCGCUGGAACCUCACAGAUAACCUCACAGAUAAGCGACGUGGCCAACUGCAAAGAACAAGGUUCCUGGCUGCCGUCAUUUCCAAGUCUGGGGUCGUGACGCGUUCAUCGGUGUAGCGAGAUCAAUUCACUUGCAACCCUUCAUUUUCUUUAAAAAAAAUAAAAUAAAAAGAUGCCAGUA